AGCAAGAGCAAAUGGCGUGCAAAUGUUGAAUGGUUCAAGAUCGAGAAGCAGGAUCAAGUAAGCCUUUUCUGUCCCUCUCCAACGGAUACACCGAUUUCUUGAUUCCAUUUGUGAAAUGAUUGCCUCACAGCUAAGAGGAGGAAGAGCAACCAAACCCAUCACCCAAAUCGCUAAAAUCUUGCUCCAAAACCCACAGAAACACACUCCCAUAUCACCACCAACCCAAUGCCACCACAACCCUCCAUGGGUUUUACAGACCUCUGUCUAUUCAACCCAGUUUCCUGAGUAUGAGAUGCCCUCAGUCACUUGGGGUGUUGUCCAAGGCCGCAAGAGAGGCUUGUCUCUAGAGUCAUAAUAUGCGACUAUUUGAAGAGUUUAGGCAUAGUUCCAGAUGAAUUGGAGAACUUGGAGCUACCCUCUACUGUUGAGGUUAUGAGGGAAAGAGUUGAGUUCCUACAGAAGCUAGGACUGUCGAUCGACGACAUUAACGAGUACCCUUUGAUGCUUGGAUGUAGUGUGAGGAAAAAUAUGGUACCUGUGUUGGCUUACUUGGAGAAAAUUGGGAUUCAAAGGUCGAAGCUCUGUGAGUUUGUUAACAACUACCCACAAGUGUUACAUGCUAGUGUGGUAGUUGAGCUUGUUCCGGUGAUCAAGUUCCUUCGUGGGCUCGAUGUGGAGAAGAUGGAUAUUGGCUAUGUGUUGCAGAAGUAUCCAGAGCUUCUCGGAUAUAAGCUUGAGGGGACUAUGAGUACUUCUGUUGCAUAUCUUGUUAGUAUUGGUGUUACUCCUAGGGAUAUAGGUCCCAUGGUGACUCAGUAUCCUUACUUUGGGUAUGAGAGUUGGGACUGUGAUAAAGCCUUUUGUUGAUUAUUUGGUUUCCUUAGGUUUGCCAAAAAAGAUUUUGGCUAGGAUGUUGGAGAAGCGUGCAUAUUUAUUUGGUUAUGAUCUUGAGGAGACUAUUAAGCCUAAUGUGGAUUGUUUGGUUGCUUUUGGGAUCAGGAGGGAAGGACUUGCUUCUAUUGUUGCUCAAUACCCCCAAAUUCUUGGGCAGCCUCUGAAAGCUAAAAUGUCUUCACAGCAGUUCUUCUUCAGUAUGAAGCUUAAAAUUGAUCCUGAAGGGUUUGCAAGGGUGAUAGAGAAGAUGCCGCAGAUAGUAAGCCUUAAUCAACAUGUGAUAAUGAAGCCUGUUGAGUUCCUUCUUGGACGGGGCAUACCUUCAGAAGAUGUAGCCAAGAUGGUUGUAAAGUGUCCCCAAUUAGUGGCUCUGCGUGUUGAGCUCAUGAAGAACAGUUAUUACUUUUUUAAGAGCGAAAUUGGGAGACCAGUGAAAGAGCUUGUGGAAUUUCCGGAAUACUUUACUUAUAGUUUAGAAUCCAGGAUCAAACCUAGAUACCAGAGGUUGAAAAGCAAGGGGAUCAGGUGUUCUUUGAAGUGGUUCCUCAACUGCAGCGAUCUGAGAUUUGAGGAGAGGUUGCAAGGGGAGUACAUUGAAACAGAGAUUUCUGGUCCAUCAUUUUGUAUGGGAGGGAAGUUAGAGCUACCUGGGGUUGGAAAUGAAAUGGUGUCAGACGAGGAAGACGAGAAUGAAGAUGAAAUACUUUACAGACGCACUGUUUCCCUGUAGUGAAUUUGGUUGACAUUAGUAAACCUAAUCAGUUUGAGAUGUUACUGAUGUCUAAUUCUCUGUAUGUUUAUUAUGGUUCAAGUAUCCCCUUUGAGUAAAUCUCUUACUGCUUCUGGCCUUGUGAUCUAAGUCUGACAGGAUCAGUUUUAUGAGCUGUACUUGUUGGGACAUAGCUAAUGAAAUCUCUAUUUGAUCUGAAUCGUAGGGUGGCAAGGUUUGAAUAUGGCUUCAUGUAAAGGUUGGGAAUCAAUCAUGUUCUUAGUUAUCUCUCUGAAGCUUUGACAAUUCAAUUCAAUUGCUCCAAUUACUUCACCAACGGUCUGAAUCAGCCUUAUAAUCUGUGGUUUGGUAGAAAGCAGAAGACAGCAGGGAUCAUGUAGUUGAAGCAAAGGAAGCAGCAGUUCAUGAGGUCGCGGAGCUUUUGCCUCUUUUUUAAUCACCUUCAGUGUAUAGCUUCCACCAAGGCUAAUUACAGUAGUUGCUAGUAGGUUCCUCCAUUUUUCCUCAUUUCCUACUAAAUUUUCUAUAGAACUGUGGUUUUCUGCUGCUAUCAUAUAUGAGUUGAAACAUAACUUUUACUAUCAAAGUUGAACUAUAUUAGAACAUAUUUCAGAAAAACUUGUAUUUUCUGGUAAUUUGUUACUUUUUUAUAAAAUUUUGCUGAACCUUUGUCCAAUCUGAUUAUUUA